rnacentral:lncRNA from 1 species
CCCUCCUUUUGCUCGCCUUUCUGCGACUGAGGUUUGGGCGUGAUCCCUCGUCUACCUACGUUCAUCCGUAGGUGAGGAUUAUUAUUUGAAUACUUGCCCCCUCCUUUUGCUUGCCUUUCUGCGACUGAGGUUUGGGCGUGAUCCCUUGUCUACCUACGUUCGUCCGUAGGUGAGGAUUAUUAUUUGAAUACUUGCCCCCUCAUUUUGCUCGCCUUUCUGCGAUUGAGGUUUGGGCGUGAUCCCUCGUCUACCUACGUUCAUCCGUAGGUGAGGAUUAUUAUUUGAAUACUUGCCCCCUCCUUUUGCUCGCCUUUCUGCGACUGAGGUUUGG